rnacentral:rRNA from 1 species
UACGUAGGGUGCGAGCGUUGUCCGGAAUUACUGGGCGUAAAGAGCUCGUAGGUGGUUUGUCGCGUUGUUCGUGAAAACUCACAGCUCAACUGUGGGCGUGCGGGCGAUACGGGCAGACUGGAGUACUGCAGGGGAGACUGGAAUUCCUGGUGUAGCGGUGAAUGCGCAGAUAUCAGGAGGAACACCGGUGGCGAAGGCGGGUCUCUGGGCAGUAACUGACGCUGAGGAGCGAAAGCGUGGGGAGCGAACAGG